GUAGUCUGCAACUCGACUACAUGAAGCUGGAAUCGCUAGUAAUCGCAGAUCAGAAUGCUGCGGUGAAUACGUUCCCGGGUCUUGUACACACCGCCCGUCACACCAUGGGAGUCGGAAAUGCCCGAAGCCGGUGACCAAACCCAAUAAGGAAGGAGCCGUCGAAGGCAGGUCUGAUAACUGGGGUGAAGUCGUAACAAGGUAAC
rnacentral:rRNA from 1 species